GAUGAACGCUGGCGGCGUGCCUAAUACAUGCAAGUCGAACGAGGUGCUUUUGUAGCAAUACGAGAGUAUCCUAGUGGCGAACGGGUGAGUAACGCGUUGGUGACCUGCCUCAAAGUGUGGAAUAACAAUCCGAAAGGAUUGCUAAUACCGCAUGUGGUUACCGGAUUUAGAAACCGGUUAUUAAAGGAGCAAUCCGCUUUGAGAGGGACCUGCGUCCCAUCAGCUAGUUGGUAGGGUAAUGGCCUACCAAGGCGACGACGGGUAGGGGACCUGAGAGGGUGACCCCCCACAAUGGAACUGAAACACGGUCCAUACACCUACGGGAGGCAG
rnacentral:rRNA from 1 species